rnacentral:rRNA from 1 species
UACAGAGGGUGCGAGCGUUGUUCGGAAUUAUUGGGCGUAAAGGGCGCGUAGGCGGUGCGGUAAGUCACCUGUGAAAUCUCCUAGCUCAACUGGGAGCUUGCAGGCGAAACUGCCGUGCUGGAGUGUGGGAGAGGUGCGUGGAAUUCCUGGUGUAGCGGUGAAAUGCGUAGAUAUCAGGAGGAACACCUGUGGCGAAAGCGGCGCACUGGACCACAACUGACGCUGAGGCGCGAAAGCUAGGGGAGCAAACAGG